GUGGUAAUGCCGGAUGCUCCGACUCCUCGCAUGGGGUGUCGGGAAAGAUUUCAUCGGUAUGGGAUGGGGUCGCGUCCUAUCAGGUAGUCGGCGGGGUAACGGCCCACCGAGCCUACGACGGGUAGCCGGCCUGAGAGGGCGACCGGCCACAUUGGGACUGAGAUACGGCCCAGACUCCUACGGGAGGCAGCAGUGGGGAAUAUUGCACAAUGGGCGCAAGCCUGAUGCAGCGACGCCGCGUGCGGGAUGACGGCCUUCGGGUUGUAAACCGCUUUUGAUCGGGAGCAAGCCUUCGGGUGAGUGUACCUUUCGAAUAAGCACCGGCUAACUACGUGCCAGCAGCCGCGGUAAUACGUAGGGUGCAAGCGUUAUCCGGAAUUAUUGGGCGUAAAGGGCUCGUAGGCGGUUCGUCGCGUCCGGUGUGAAAGUCCAUCGCUUAACGGUGGAUCUGCGCCGGGUACGGGCGGGCUGGAGUGCGGUAGGGGAGACUGGAAUUCCCGGUGUAACGGUGGAAUGUGUAGAUAUCGGGAAAGA
rnacentral:rRNA from 1 species